rnacentral:lncRNA from 1 species
CGCCGAACGGACCGGGAAUUCCCCUGUACGCGGACAGAGUCUCCCCAGUACGUCCAAGGCGUCGCAAUCCAAACAAUCAACGAAUGUUCCAACAAGGAACAGAUAUCAAUCCAGAUUGCAUAAGGAAGUAUCAAAUACAUAAUCUACUUGCUAUUACAAGAAUUCAUUUCACAAUCACGUUAUACAUCACAGUUUCAGUUUACAUUUUUACUUCCAAAUUACAAUCUUACUAUUACACCAGAGUUUGAUACAUUUUCUUUUCUUGUCUUCUAGACCCCUAAGCUAGACUGUCUCAAG